rnacentral:snoRNA from 1 species
GGUCUCUUCCCACAGGAAGGGUGCAGAGAGUAACCCAUCUUGCAGCCAGUGGGAGAGACAGAGAACAAAAACCAGAGGAAAGUUGUCAUGCCUGCCUGGAGCUUGUGGCUGCCAUGUUUUCCUGCCUCUUACAUUG